AUUGAACGCUGGCGGCAGGCCUAACACAUGCAAGUCGAACGAGUGGCGGACGGGUGAGUAAUGUCUGGGAAACUGCCCGAUGGAGGGGGCUAACUACUGGAAACGGUAGCUAAUACCGCAUACCAUCGGAUGUGCCCAGAUGGGAUUAGCUAGUAGGUGGGGUACCGGCUCACCUAUGCGACGAUCCCUAGCUGGUCUGAGAGGAUGACCCGCCAGUCUGGACCUGAGACACGGUCAGUACUCCUACGGGAGGCAGCAGUGGGGAGUAUUGCACAAUGGGCGCAAGCCUGAUGCAGCCAUGCCGCGUUUAUGAAGAAGGCCUUCGGGUUGUAAAGUACUUUCAGCGAGGAGGCGUUACUCGCAGAAGAAGCACCGGCUAACUCCGUGCCAGCAGCCGCGGUAAUUC
rnacentral:rRNA from 1 species